AGUCUACUAUCAGGGUAGUGACCAUGCUGGAGGUAUGUUACUCUACAGUCUACUAUCAGGGUAGUGACCAUGCUGGAGGUGUGUUACUCUACAGUCUACUAUCAGGGUAGUGACCAUGCUGGAGGUAUGUUACUCUACAGUCUACUAUCAGGGAGCCAGGCUGCUCAUGCUGGAGGUAUGUUACUCUACAGUCUACUAUCAGGGUAGUGACCAUGCUGGAGGUAUGUUACUCUACAGUCUACUAUCAGGGAGCCAGGCUGCUCAUGCUGGAGGUAUGUUACUCUACAGUCUACUAUCAGGGUAGUGACCAUGCUGGAGGUAUGUUACUCUACAGUCUACUAUCAGGGUAGUGACCAUGCUGGAGGUGUGUUACUCUACAGUCUACUAUCAGGGAGCCAGGCUGCUCAUGCUGGAGGUAUGUUACUCUACAGUCUACUAUCAGGGAGCCAGGCUGCUCAUGCUGGAGGUAUGUUACUCUACAGUCUACUAUCAGGGAGCCAGGCUGCUCAUGCUGGAGGUAUGUUACUCUACAGUCUACUAUCAGGGAGCCAGGCUGCUCAUGCUGGAGGUAUGUUACUCUACAGUCUACUAUCAGGGAGCCAGGCUGCUCAUGCUGGAGGUAUGUUACUCUACAGUCUACUAUCAGGGAGCCAGGCUGCUCAUGCUGGAGGUAUGUUACUCUACAGUCUACUAUCAGGGAGCCAGGCUGCUCAUGCUGGAGGUAUGUUACUCUACAGUCUACUAUCAGGGAGCCAGGCUGCUCAUGCUGGAGGUAUGUUACUCUACAGUCUACUAUCAGGGAGCCAGGCUGCUCAUGCUCCUCUAACCUGUGAGAACAUCCUGAAACCCCUACAGAUGAUCCGGUGAGCAUCUACACUGUCUAGUUCACUAUAUAUCUAUAGCGAUCUUUCUGUUGGUCUGUGUGUCGGUUGUUCGGUCAGUCCGUCACUGUGUGUCUGCCUGUCUAUAUUCAUUCAUAGUCUGUGUGUCUGCUUGUCUAUAUUCAUUCAUAGUCUGUCUGCCUGUCGC